CUUUGCAAACCCCGUCUCCACCUCGAACUCACAUUCACAAAAUGGCCACUGGGCCUUAGCAACAGUGCCAGACAUGUGGCAAUAUGGCCCUACUUUUGUCCACAUCACUGACGGGAUUGAUGGUGAUAUGGAGUUUGGUCUUUAAAGAUGUGCAUCAGCAAGCAUUAUCAAUGUACUGUGGUUAAAAGAUUGAAGCUUCCAGAUGCUCUCUGGUAGUAGUAAAUACUUGGAAGAAAAGAUGAAAAUUUGGCUGGGUUGUGGACAGGUCUAAUUGGAUGAACAAACAAUGUAUCAUGGCACAUUUCCUCCGCCUUUCAUUAUAUGAAAGUGUGUAAUGAACAAUGUUUAUACGCCUCUAUUUGGGAUAUGUACAAUUAUGUACUUAUGCAUGGAAUGAUCUGUCAGAAUGGCACACAAACAAAGUUUCUCACUAUAUCUCGGUAUAUGUGACAAUAAUAAACCAAAUUGAUUAUGAUAAAUUUGCAUCUUAACUU